UACGGAGGGGGCUAGCGUUGUUCGGAAUUACUGGGCGUAAAGCGCACGUAGGCGGCUUUGUAAGUUAGAGGUGAAAGCCCGGAGCUUAACUCCGGAACUGCCUUUAAGACUGCAUCGCUAGAAUUGUGGAGAGGUAAGUGGAAUUCCGAGUGUAGAGGUGAAAUUCGUAGAUAUUCGGAAGAACACCAGUGGCGAAGGCGACUUACUGGACACAUAUUGACGCUGAGGUGCGAAAGCGUGGGGAGCAAACAGG
rnacentral:rRNA from 1 species